UUUCAGGCAAUGAAAAGUAAUGGAACAAGAGCAGAUCUCUCCCCUCAUUGCUAAAUGCAAUAAAAGAGCAGGCUUCCUUUCUCCAAUGCAAAUGACACCAUCUUCAGGUUGCUGAAUAAAUCCUCUAUUGUUGACAUUCUAAGGAAGAGGAAUUCAAUUCCAUAGCAUCAAGAAGGAGCCAAGGACAUGGUAAUUGAUACUCAGAAUUACAAGGAGUGGGGAUGGUUUUCCCCUCAUACUCACUCUGUCAUUUUGAUGGUCCAUGGCAUUUGGCGUCAUAGCUAGUUGGCAUUAGAGAGCAGUCUGAAUCCACGAAACAACAGAAAGCUAACAGGUCCAUGCAGGAGUUGACUUGUGAUCUUGGCCUUGUUAGCCCAUUGGCCUAAGUAUGUCCUUGCCAUCAAAUCACUGCUAUUCACUCGCCUAGUUGCAAUGACACUGACACUGAUUCUGCAGAUAGUUGGCAAUUUCUUCAAAUAUGCAAUUAAUAUGUCAAAGCUGAUCCAUAUCAUGAUGAAAAUGCUGACCAGUUCAGAAGAGCUUCUGUGUAAUAUGUUGACGAUAACUUUUCAUCAACUAUAAAGCUGAUAGAAUGAGAUUUGAAAAACACAAUUUGAGGAUCACCAAUAACAUUAUAUUGCCAGUGAGCCUACCACUGACAAAACUCUAUUUCCUUCUCCAGGAUCAAAAAUACAGAUUGUAAAACUAGAAUUGGAGCGGCUGUAUUCUAACACAUUCCCACAGAUGACAGAUACCUUCCUACAUCUCACGCCAUUAGCCAGUCCCCCAAUUUCCAUAUGUAUCUCCUAGCUGUACAUUGCAACUCUCAGAACGUUGAAUAAGGAAGGAGAACUAAGGGGCUAUAUUUUAUCCAGGAAAGUUAAUGUUUUAUAGUAAGUCUGUUAGCAGAUAUAGAGAAAAAAAAAACCUGAAAUCGUAAAUAUUAGGACUUUAAUUUGUUUGUUUCUGGUAAGAUUGCUUAGGAAUUAGAAGCAGCUUCCAACUCAUGCAGCCAUGGGAAAUGCCUUGCUAAACACUGGUAAUUGACUGAAGGGAUACUGAUAUUGCCCUGUGGUCCAGCUCUAGACGCCAAAAGGAGAGAAAGGCUCAGAAUUGUAAGCAAACCCAUAUACUAGGUUGGCAAACAAAAGAUCUGAACAGAUAUUCAUUUUCGAGAGUGGCAAUGAAAACUUAUAUAGUCUAUAAUAAAAAAAAUGAGAGGACCAAUAGAUAAUGCUGAAAACUCAAGGAAGAAGAGACGCUUUUUUUUUUUUUUUAAAAAAAAAGGUACGUAUUAUAAGAUCCAGAGGUUUGAAAGACAUGUUUUAAAAAUUGGCAUGCCCUAUGAACUAUUAAGAAGUAGGCAUCUAAAGAGCACAAAGUAGAAACACACCAGCAAAAAA
rnacentral:lncRNA from 10 species